AUUGAACGCUGGCGGCAGGCCUAACACAUGCAAGUCGAACGGUAACAGAAAGCAGCUUGCUGCUUUGCUGACGAGUGGCGGACGGGUGAGUAAUGUCUGGGAAACUGCCUGAUGGAGGGGGAGAACUACUGGAAACGGUAGCGAAUACCGCAUAACGUCGCAAGACCAAAGAGGGGGACCUUCGGGCCUCUUGCCAUCGGAUGUGCCCAGAUGGGAUUAGCUAGUAGGUGGGGUAAAGGCUCACCUAGGCGACGAUCCCUAGCUGGUCUGAGAGGAUGACCAGCCACACUGGAACUGAGACACGGUCCAGACUCCUACGGGAGGCAGCAGUGGGGAAUAUUGCACAAUGGGCGCAAGCCUGAUGCAGCCAUGCCGCGUGUAUGAAGAAGGCCUUCGGGUUGUAAAGUACUUUCAGCGGGGAGGAAGGGAGUCAAGUUAAUACCUUUGCUCAUUGACGUUACCCGCAGAAGAAGCACCGGCUAACUCCGUG
rnacentral:rRNA from 1 species